rnacentral:misc_RNA from 1 species
AACGCACAUUGCGCCCGCCAGCACUCUGGCGGGCAUGCCUGUCCGAGCGUCAUUUCAACCCCUCAAGCCCUGCUUGGUGUUGGGGAUCGGCCGCCCCCCGGGCGCCGCCGGCCCUGAAAUGAAGUGGCGGUCCCGCCGUGGAACCUCUGCGCAGUAGCAACACUCGCACUGGCGACCGGCGGCGACCACGCCCAACCCCCCCAUCUUUACAGGUUGACCUCGGAUCAGGUAGGAAUACCCGCUGAACUUAA